CUGCCUUCAUUGGACUCAAUUAUGAUCUGAAAGUUCCAAGAUUUGAGUUCUUAUCAAAUGCCAAGGCUUCCCUAUUUGAGUAUCCACGCCCAACCACACCUCCCACAUCAACUUCAGCUGUCAAGUUACCCACUGCUAUUUUAUCAACAACUGCAAAAGCAAAAUCAAAAGCAAAGAAAGAUGCAGAACAUAAAGCUAGUUCUGAGAAGUCAUCCAGUGAAAAGGGUCCUAAAUCUUCUGAGAAGGAUGCCGAUGUGAUGUAAGCAUGAUAAAAUCACAGCAGUUGUUGGGCUUGCAGUGUUCAGCCAAUUUUGGUAUUGGUAUCCCCUUCUCUAUUUCAUAAGCCUCUCUUUCUCUCCCACUGCCUUCAUUGGACUCAAUUAUGAUCUGAAAGUUCCAAGAUUUGAGUUCUUAUCAAAUGCCAAGGCUUCCCUAUUUGAGUAUCCACGCCCAACCACACCUCCCACAUCAACUUCAGCUGUCAAGUUACCCACUGCUAUUUUAUCAACAACUGCAAAAGCAAAAUCAAAAGCAAAGAAAGAUGCAGAACAUAAAGCUAGUUCUGAGAAGU
rnacentral:lncRNA from 1 species